UUCAGAGACAACUCCUGCAUAACAAGAUGAAGAAUAGACUUGGGAUAAUUUGUCAUAGCAGCAGUAUAAAACCAAGUGGUUCAUCUUACUAAAAAUAGUUACAGGUUAACAAGUCAGAAAUAGUUUUAAGGAGAAGGUCAUCAUCUGAGCAUUGGAGUGAAGGGGAUAGCAUUUCAAGUGAGGGGUGUGACAGGCCCAGUUCUGGUGAUGAUUUCACUUUUGACAGAAGCUGUCCCUCAAAAGCAAACAUGCAAUAAAAGAAACAGAUCUCAGUAACUGCACCUUCCAGCUGUAUGACUCCUAGAUGAUCUUAAAGUGCUUACCUUCCAUUACUUCAUUUUGCCCGGUAACCAAUUUUGUUGAAAGAGAUGGGUAGGUUAUCAUCAUCAUUUCCAUUUUAAAGUAGAAAUGAGACAGAGAAAGGAACCAACUUACCCACAAAGCUAGAAGACAGCUGAGCUGCCAUGAAAACUUGGCCUCCUCGACACAACUCUUGCUGCCAGAGAUGUGCCUUAGUUAAGCGCCUCAGUGAAGAAAAGGGCAGUCUGUUUAAUAGCUCCUCAUUGACACCCUGUCACUGCUGAACUGGCACGGAACCCAGAGUUGGCAGGGUGGUACAUGCCUCUCUCUACCUUGUUUCCUACACACCAGUUCUUAAAAUCAGAAGGCUGUGUUAACCCAAGUCUUCUCUCCAAGGAUUAAUAAUCAUGAAAACAACAACAGUCAACCUUUGCAUGGUUCUUAACAAUGAACUCAGCACUUUCAAAGAUGUUCAUCAUUUAUUUUCUCCAACGACUUUACAAUGUAGGUGACAUUGGUGCCAUUUUUCAAAAAUGGGAAAACGGGGGAUCUGAGAUGACGUGAUUGGUCUGAGGAUUAUGAAGCUCACUACUGAUGAAGCCAGCAUCCAGUUUUUCAGACACCAAACCUGCUAUCUUCACUAUACCAUGUGCAUUGCAGAAAAGACACGGAAUUAGGGAGCUUGUGUUAUGAUUGCUGUUCCCAGUUAGAAUUAAAUGUAACAAGAGCCUGAAGAGCAAUCCCUACCAGUUUGCUUCUUUUCUAUCACUAAGUCAGUUCUUUUGUAGAAAUACAUAUUCAGGACAGGUAUAAUCAACUCCCCUUUCACCUAAAUUUUAUUUGGAAAAGAAUGCCUAUUAAAAUAAUAGAUGAAAAACUC